CUGGGUUUGGUUUACUUUUCGCAUCGGCCUGUGUCAAUCGAGGUUGAGUUUAGUGAGGGUUGAAAGUUUUCGAUCUAGAUUGCAGAUCACUAUUGUCACUUUAUACAAACUGAAAGUAUGCGUUGUUGCGUGUUUGUUUUUGUGGGCAUUUGACUGAACAGCCCAGACAAAUAUUGCUACCAACAUGGCACUUCGAAACAGACCACCGCAGGGGACUUGACUGGUGAGUCUACUGGAUUAAUCAGUAGCGGUACUUUGCCCAACAGAUUUGAUGGCAUGACUACAGGGUGACAAAGACAAUUAUUC